CGUGGUUGGGUAUUUGUCGAUCGCUACCGGUUGCUCCUUGUGAGUUUUACUAGGUUUGCGAGCGACAUUCUACCGGGGACAGUAUUUUCACUUCAUUGUGCAGUGCUGAAGCCGGGACCAUUACUUUGAGAAAAUGAGAGUGUUCCAAGCGGGCGUUUGCCAGAAUAUAUUAGCAUGGAAUAAUAGCAUAGGACCUCUAUCUGAUGCUGUUGGUUAUCGGAGAGAGGGAACGCAAAUAGGGAUAGUUGGGGGCAUUCGUAUUUAACUGUCAGAGGUGAAAUUCUUGGAUUUUUUAAAGACGAACUACUGCGAAAGCAUCUGCCCAGGAUGGUUUUUAUUAAUCAAGAACGAAAGUUAGGGGAUCGAAGACGAUCAGAUACCGUCCUAUUUUUAACCAUAAACUAUGCCGACUAGAGAUUGGCCCCAAUAAUUAUGUUUUGUGGUCAGCAGCUUGAGAGAAAUCAAAGUCUUCGGGUUCCGGGGGGAGUAUGGCCGCAAGGCUGAAACUUAAAGGAAUUGACGGAAGGGCACCACCAGGAGUGGAGCCUGCGGCUUAAUUUGACUCAACACGGGGAAACUCACCAGGUCCAGACAUAGAGAGGAUUGACAGACUGAUAGCUCUUUCUUGAUUCUAUGGGUGGUGGUGCAUGGCCGUUCUUAGUUGGUGGAGUGAUUUGUCUGGUUAAUU
rnacentral:rRNA from 1 species